rnacentral:rRNA from 1 species
GACGAACGCUGGCGGCGUGCUUAACACAUGCAAGUCGAACGGAAAGGCCCUGCUUUUGUGGGGUGCUCGAGUGGCGAACGGGUGAGUAACACGUGAGUAACCUGCCCUUGACUUUGGGAUAACUUCAGGAAACUGGGGCUAAUACCGGAUAGGAGCUCCUGCUGCAUGGUGGGGGUUGGAAAGUUUCGGCGGUUGGGGAUGGACUCGCGGCUUAUCAGCUUGUUGGUGGGGUAGUGGCUUACCAAGGCUUUGACGGGUAGCCGGCCUGAGAGGGUGACCGGCCACAUGGGGCCUGAGAUACGGCCCAGACUCCUACGGGAGGCAGCAGUGGGGAAUAUUGCACAAUGGGCGGAAGCCUGAUGCAGCAACGCCGCGUGCGGGAUGACGGCCUUCGGGUUGUAAACCGCUUUCGCCUGUGACGAAGCGUGAGUGACGGUAAUGGGUAAAGAAGCACCGGCUAACUACGUG